AUACUUACCUGGCAGGGGAGAUACCAUGAUCACGAAGGUGGUUUUCCCAGGGCGAGGCUUAUCCAUUGCACUCCGGAUGUGCUGACCCCUGCGAUUUCCCCAAAUGUGGGAAACUCGACUGCAUGAUUUGUGGUAGUGGGGGACUGCAUUCGCGCUUUCCCCUG
rnacentral:snRNA from 1 species